UACGGAGGAUCCGAGCGCUAUCCGGAUUUAUUGGGUUUAAAGGGUGCGUAGGCGGUUUGAUAAGUUAGAGGUGAAAUGUCGGGGCUCAACCCCGAAACUGCCUCUAAUACUGUUGGACUAGAGAAUAGUUGCGGUAGGCGGAAUGUAUGGUGUAGCGGUGAAAUGCUUAGAGAUCAUACAGAACACCGAUUGCGAAGGCAGCUUACCAAACUAUAUCUGACGUUGAGGCACGAAAGCGUGGGUAGCAAACAGG
rnacentral:rRNA from 1 species